AUACGUAGGUGGCAAAGCGUUAUCCGGAUUUAUUGGGCGUAAAGCGAGCGCAGGCGGUUUUUUAAGUCUGAUGUGAAAGCCUUCGGCUUAACCGAAGAAGGGCAUCGGAAACUGGGAGACUUGAGUGCAGAAGAGGACAGUGGAACUCCAUGUGUAGCGGUGAAAUGCGUAGAUAUAUGGAAGAACACCAGUGGCGAAGGCGGCUGUCUGGUCUGUAACUGACGCUGAGGCUCGAAAGUAUGGGUAGC
rnacentral:rRNA from 1 species